GACGAACGCUGGCGGCCCGUCUAACACAUGCAAGUCGAACGAGCGAGAGAGAGCUUGCUUUCUCGAGCGAGUGGCGAACGGGUGAGUAACGCGUGAGGAACCUGCCUCAAAGAGGGGGACAACAGUUGGAAACGACUGCUAAUACCGCAUAAGCCCACAGCUCGGCAUCGAGCAGAGGGAAAAGGAGUGGUCCGCUUUGAGAUGGCCUCGCGUCCGAUUAGCUAGUUGGUGAGGUAACGGCCCACCAAGGCGACGAUCGGUAGCCGGACUGAGAGGUUGAACGGCCACAUUGGGACUGAGACACGGCCCAGACUCCUACGGGAGGCAGCAGUGGGGAAUAUUGCACAAUGGGGGAAACCCUGAUGCAGCGACGCCGCGUGGAGGAAGAAGGUCUUCGGAUUGUAAACUCCUGUUGUUGAGGAAGAUAAUGACGGUACUCAACAAGGAAGUGACGGCUAACUACGUGCCAGCAGCCGCGGUAAAACGUAGGUCACAAGCGUUGUCCGGAAUUACUGGGUGUAAAGGGAGCGCAGGCGGGAAAGCAAGUUGGAAGUGAAAUCCAUGGGCUCAACCCAUGAACUGCUUUCAAAACUGUUUUUCUUGAGUAGUGCAGAGGUAGGCGGAAUUCCCGGUGUAGCGGUGGAAUGCGUAGAUAUCGGGAGGAACACCAGUGGCGAAGGCGGCCUACUGGGCACCAACUGACGCUGAGGCUCGAAAGUGUGGGUAGCAAACAGG
rnacentral:rRNA from 1 species